CAGGCCUAACACAUGCAAGUCGAGCGGAAACGAGUUAUCUGAACCUUCGGGGAACGAUAACGGCGUCGAGCGGCGGACGGGUGAGUAAUGCCUAGGAAAUUGCCCUGAUGUGGGGGAUAACCAUUGGAAACGAUGGCUAAUACCGCAUGAUGCCUACGGGCCAAAGAGGGGGACCUUCGGGCCUCUCGCGUCAGGAUAUGCCUAGGUGGGAUUAGCUAGUUGGUGAGGUAAGGGCUCACCAAGGCGACGAUCCCUAGCUGGUCUGAGAGGAUGAUCAGCCACACUGGAACUGAGACACGGUCCAGACUCCUACGGGAGGCAGCAGUGGGGAAUAUUGCACAAUGGGCGCAAGCCUGAUGCAGCCAUGCCGCGUGUGUGAAGAAGGCCUUCGGGUUGUAAAGCACUUUCAGUCGUGAGGAAGGUGGUGUAGUUAAUAGCUGCAUUAUUUGACGUUAGCGACAGAAGAAGCACCGGCUAACUCCGUGCCAGCAGCCGCGGUAAUACGGAGGGUGCGAGCGUUAAUCGGAAUUACUGGGCGUAAAGCGCAUGCAGGUGGUUUGUUAAGUCAGAUGUGAAAGCCCGGGGCUCAACCUCGAAAUAGCAUUUGAAACUGGCAGACUAGAGUACUGUAGAGGGGGGUAGAAUUUCAGGUGUAGCGGUGAAAUGCGUAGAGAUCUGAAGGAAUACCGGUGGCGAAGGUGGCCCCCUGGACAGAUACUGACACUCAGAUGCGAAAGCGUGGGGAGCAAACAGGAUUAGAUACCCUGGUAGUCCACGCCGUAAACGAUGUCUACUUGGAGGUUGUGGCCUUGAGCCGUGGCUUUCGGAGCUAACGCGUUAAGUAGACCGCCUGGGGAGUACGGUCGCAAGAUUAAAACUCAAAUGAAUUGACGGGGGCCCGCACAAGCGGUGGAGCAUGUGGUUUAAUUCGAUGCAACGCGAAGAACCUUACCUACUCUUGACAUCCAGAGAACUUUCCAGAGAUGGAUUGGUGCCUUCGGGAACUCUGAGACAGGUGCUGCAUGGCUGUCGUCAGCUCGUGUUGUGAAAUGUUGGGUUAAGUCCCGCAACGAGCGCAACCCUUAUCCUUGUUUGCCAGCGAGUAAUGUCGGGAACUCCAGGGAGACUGCCGGUGAUAAACCGGAGGAAGGUGGGGACGACGUCAAGUCAUCAUGGCCCUUACGAGUAGGGCUACACACGUGCUACAAUGGCGCAUACAGAGGGCGGCCAACUUGCGAAAGUGAGCGAAUCCCAAAAAGUGCGUCGUAGUCCGGAUUGGAGUCUGCAACUCGACUCCAUGAAGUCGGAAUCGCUAGUAAUCGUGGAUCAGAAUGCCACGGUGAAUACGUUCCCGGGCCUUGCACACACCGCCCGU
rnacentral:rRNA from 1 species